ensembl:rRNA 5S_rRNA 5S ribosomal RNA
GCCAGCAACCAUAUCACCCUGCAACUCACAACUGGCAACCCACUGAAGCUAAGCAGGUGUGAGCCUGGUCAGUACCUGGAUGGAGACCUCCUGGGAAAAACUAAGGUUGCUGCUGGAA